rnacentral:rRNA from 1 species
GAUGAACGCUGGCGGCGUGCCUAAUACAUGCAAGUCGAGCGAACAGACGAGGAGCUUGCUCCUCUGACGUUAGCGGCGGACGGGUGAGUAACACGUGGAUAACCUACCUAUAAGACUGGGAUAACUUCGGGAAACCGGAGCUAAUACCGGAUAAUAUAUUGAACCGCAUGGUUCAAUAGUGAAAGACGGUUUUGCUGUCACUUAUAGAUGGAUCCGCGCCGCAUUAGCUAGUUGGUAAGGUAACGGCUUACCAAGGCAACGAUGCGUAGCCGACCUGGGAGGGUGAUCGGCCACACUGGAACUGAGACACGGUCCAGACUCCUACGGGAGGCAGCAGUAGGGAAUCUUCCGCAAUGGGCGAAAGCUUGACGGAGCAACGCCGCGUGAGUGAUGAAGGUCUUCGGUUCGUAAAACUCUGUUAUUAGGGAAGAACAAAUGUGUAAGUAACUAUGCACGUCUUGACGGUACCUAAUCAGAAAGCCACGGCUAACUACGUG